CCUUAGAAAGGAGUGACGGGCAAUUUGUGCAUAUUAAAGAGCAUAUUCAAAUUAAAAUUCUUUUUAUCUUUUAUUUCUAAGUUCUCUUUUUUCUAAUCUCAUUUUUUGAUUCCAUUCUUUAAUUGUUUGUAUCCCCAAAAUUCAAUCUUAUUAGCUCUGUCUUGAUUUGCUUUCUUACUUUGUAAGUUUACUAAAAAAAUUUUAUUAUCUUUUUAACCGACAAUGAUGUGGAGGCUAAAAAAGAUAGUUUCUUUAAACGUGUAUUGACGUUUAUUUUUUAGGACCCCCUAAUAUGAUUCAAUACCGCCAUUCCACAUUGAUUUUUUUUAUUUAAAUACUCUCUCGAACUUUUCUCUAAAA
rnacentral:rRNA from 1 species